CAUGCAUACAUUAGAGCACUGCCUAAAUACAAUUCUUGAGAAAUUAGGGUUCUCGAAACCAGAAAGGAGAAAGCUGAUUCGAAGACUACAGAUCCAAGCCAUUAUUGGAACUGUAAAAAUCUGUAAAACUUUCAAUAAGUUUA